rnacentral:pre_miRNA from 1 species
CUUCCAGUCACCAGAGCUUCUUAUUAAAAUGCAAGUUUUGAUUUAGAAGGUAGGAGGUGGGGCCUGAAACUUUGCAUUUCUAAGAAGCUCCCAGGUAAUGCCAGU